CACGUAGGGGGCAAGCGUUGUCCGGAUUUAUUGGGCGUAAAGAGCUCGUAGGCGGUUCGGUAAGUCGGGGGUGAAACCUCCAGGCUCAACCUGGAGACGCCACCCGAUACUGCUGUGACUAGAGUCCGGUAGGGGAGCGUGGAAUUCCUGGUGUAGCGGUGAAAUGCGCAGAUAUCAGGAGGAACACCGGUGGCGAAGGCGGAUCUCUGGGCCUGUCCUGACGCUGAGGCGCGAAAGCUAGGGGAGCGAACAGG
rnacentral:rRNA from 1 species